rnacentral:lncRNA from 1 species
GUGGAGGAAAUGAAUGAAUCACCUUUUUUUUUUUUUAAAUUAGUCUUUAGCUAUUUGAAGCAUCACCACUUUAAAUAAUGAAAGGAAUUCAAAGGAAAAAAAAUUAAAGAAAUAGUAAUUUCUUUCUUUGUUGAUAAAGCCCAAAUACAUCUAUAUUAACUUGCUGAGAAAGAAGAGAGCAAAAACCUUCAGAUGAUUCUCUAAGAACAGUUCUGCUUAACUAAAAGGCAUAGAUAGCUGGAAAUCAGAUAUAAAACUGGAAUGAGAGCAGACUACAAGGAAAGUAUAAUUAUUAUUUUGUCAAACCAUCUGCUUCCCAUCAAACACACAAUACAUACAAAUAUUAUCCUUUAUGCAGUAAAUUUAGUGAUUUAAUUCUGAGUCUCCAAUCAUCAGGGUUUUUUUCAUUUUAUUUUUUUCCUAAAAUAUUAUCUAUUCUAUCAGCUUUGCUUAUCACUUCUACAUAUUGAGGACUAAGCUCUGAUUUUUUAUUUUGCCUAAAUUCCUAUCUAAGGGGCCUGGGGAGUCAUGCCCUACAAACCAUAAAUUCUCAUCAGAUGGGUUUUAUUUGACCCUAUAUAUUGUGACUAACUUUUCAAUCUGACUCUGGCAUAACAUUGUGAGACAAGGAAAAAAUGUUUUACCCGAAAAUAUAUUUCUUUGCCAUACCUUGAAAUUGCCCUGCAAAGUCUCUUGUGGGAAAAAUCCACAUUCUGUAGAGAAUAUGGAUUUCUCCUUUGUUUUCCUUUGUUUCUUUCCAGAUCCAGGAGGUAAUCAACUAAGAGCCAGGCACUCUUUUAAGUCUGAUAAGAAAUAUUUUACAACCUGCUGUCUCUCUGAAGUCUGCUAUCUGAGAGAUUCCUCUGCACAAUAAAACUUGGUCUCCACAGUCAUUUAUCUUAACCUGAAUAUUCCUUUCCAUUAAUCCCAGGUCUUCAAAUAAACUCAACAAAUUGUCAACCAGAAAAUGUUUAAAUUUACCUAUAGCCUGGAAACCCCCACACCACCACCCCACUUUGAGUUGUUCUGCCUUUCUGAACCAAACCAAUGUAUUUCUUAAAUGUAUUUAAUA